GUUUCCAAAGGCACGCAGAGGGCUUUCUGUGCUGACCAGGAUGUGCCUCGUCACCGGGGACAGAAAGAACACUAAAUCCUCCCAGGGAUUGCUUUGCUGUGUGAAGAGGCUCUGAGAUCAGCAGCAACAGCCUUUGGAGAGCCUAUGUGUCCACAGCCCUGGCAACAGCGUGGUGGUGAAGGGCUCUGGACUCGACAGAGACCUCCGCCUUCAGCUCUGGCUCCGGGGAUCGCCAGGGGGGUCGCCAGAGGGCGGUGCCCUCCUCCGCUUCUUUGAGGCGCCCAGACUCACCCAGGGGGCGCGGUGUGAGGAUCCAACGGGAGACCACCCACAGGAGCCGGAUGCAGGCUCAGCUCGCCUCCCUGCCACACAGACGGUAACACGUGGCAGCACUAACACCAUUUAACAGGUUCUCUUUCGAGAACACACACAUUAUGGCGGGACACCCAGGAAAGAGUUAACAGAGGAGGCUGGGACCGCUCUCCUUAGAAGGGCCCGUGGCUGGCGUCUGGGAACUCAGACUUCCAGAAAGCGCCUACCAUUCCCUAAAAUAGAAAGGCUCACUGUGCCGAGGUGGCUGGUGUAAACACCGUGCGUUACGCUGAGCACCCGCUUCCCCUCUGGGAUCUGACACACUGGUGCGUGUCAGGCAGAGGGGCCCACGGGACCGGCCCCCCACUGCACCGCUGGGCAGUCUCCGCGAGCUUCCCUGCACAUGUCCCAGCUCCCUGCGGGAGGAACGGGGUGCUGGGUGGGCCUGCCCGCCAAAGGACUGCCGGGAGCUCGCACCCGGUGUCCUCAGGGGCGCCCCCCCUUUCCCCUUUAUUCACUUGCUUUGUAUCCUUCCACUGUUAAGAACUACGGCCAUGAGCAGGACCCCGCGUUGCGUCCGAGGAGUUGGCCCAGUGAGUCACUGCCCCGCGGGCUGGUCCUGGGUGUCUGACAGUCACAGUUCUGUGAUUGGUUUUUAGCUCAGCAACACGGGGAACGUACGUCUCUCCUAACGAAUACUCAUCUGCUGCAUCGUUUUUCCUGGCUGCAUGCAAGUCCAUCCUGACCUGAGCUGAGCUCAAGGGGUGGAUGCUUAUCCCACUGAGCCACC